rnacentral:lncRNA from 1 species
AAGCAGUUGGCUUUAGCCAGAAUGGAGAUACCUGAUCAUCAGAGGCUGGAGGAAAGCAGGUUCUUCAAAAAACAAACAACAACAAAAAACAACAAAACAUGAAGAAGCCAAAUCUGGAGGACAAGUUUUCCAAAUUAAACACGAAUAUUGUUGUAGAGUAAAAUGAUACUGUUUGUAAAGAGAUGUUUUUACUAGACAUCCUCUUCCUAGCCACCUAUUAAGGAAUAACUAGAAUAUAUAUUAACAGCAAGACAUCAGAAAUUAUCUUUGCACCUGAGAAAAUGUUAAGGUGAGAGGGGAAGCCAGCUGGGCUUCUGGGUCGGGGAAAUUGUUCUUGGAGAAGAAGUUCUCCAAGUUCUUCUGGGGACUUGGAGAACUUUUCUGUCUAGCUAAAGGAUUGUAAAUGCACCAAUCAGCACUCUGUAAAAAUGCACCAAUCAGCACUCUGUGUCUAGCUAAACAUUGUAAACACACCAAUCAGCACUCUGUAAAAUGGACCAAUCGGCUCUCUGUAAAAUGAACCAAUCAGCAGGAUGUGGGCUGGGCCAAAUACGGAAUAAAAGCUGGCCACUCCAGCCAACAGUGGCGACCCGCUUGGGUCCCCUUCCACACCGU